UUACGGCCAUAUCACGUCGAAACAUCUCUUCUCGUACGAUCAACGAAGUUAAGUAACGUCGAGUCUAGUCAGUACUUAGAUGGCUGACCGCUUGAGAAUACCAGGUACUGUAAG